rnacentral:rRNA from 1 species
CACGGAGUUAGCCGAUGCUUAUUCGUAAGGUACCGUCAUCAAAGUACACGUACUCCUUAUUCUUCCCUUACAAAAGCAGUUUACAACCCAUAAGGCCGUCAUCCUGCACGCGGCAUGGCUGGAUCAGUCUUCCGACCAUUGUCCAAUAUUCCUCACUGCUGCCUCCCGUAGGAGUCUGGUCCGUAUCUCAGUACCAGUGUGGGGGACAUCCCUCUCAGAACCCCUAUCUAUCGUCGCCUUGGGGAGCCGUUACCUCUCCAACUAGCUAAUAGAACGCAUACUCAUCUUUUACCGCCGUAGCUUUAAUAAGUGCACGAUGCCGUGCUCUUAUACCAUAGGGUAUUAAUCCAAAUUUCUUCGGCUAUCCCCCGGAUAAAAGGCAGAUUGUAUACGCGUUACGCACCCGUGCGCCGGUCUUAGCCCGAAGGCUUAUCCCUCGACUUGCAUGUGUUAGGCCUGCCGCUAGCGUUCAUCCUGAGCCAGGAUCAAACUCU